GACAGAGGGGGCAAGCGUUGCUCGGAAUUACUGGGCGUAAAGGGCGCAUAGGCGGGAUGGCAAGUCGGUCGUGAAAUCCCUCGGCUCAACUGAGGAGCGUCGAUCGAAACUGCCGUUCUUGAGGGUUGCAGAGGAGACUGGAAUUCCCGGUGUAGCGGUGAAAUGUGUAGAGAUCGGGAGGAACACCGGUGGCGAAGGCGGGUCUCUGGGCAACUCCUGACGCUGAGGCGCGAAAGCGUGGGGAGCAAACGGG
rnacentral:rRNA from 1 species